CCUUUUGGAUCUCUGGCUCAUAACAGGAGUUAGGUUUCAUUUGGAAUUACGAAAAAAUUGCGUUAUGUACGAUAAGAAAGUACGUUGAGUGGUUCGCAUAUCGCAGUGAGUCGGUUACGAUAUAUUUUACGAUAUAUUUUUUUCAGUUCCAUCGGAGAACGCAAAAGUAUAUUUCUAUAUACUUUAUCCCAACUCUAACGUUAGUUUAAUCUCAAUACCAAACUAAGCCUUAUGACAAUAUUGUUCUCGUCAAAUGUUGCUGUU
rnacentral:lncRNA from 1 species